rnacentral:rRNA from 1 species
GAUGAACGCUGGCGGCGUGCCUAAUACAUGCAAGUCGAGCGAACAGACGAGGAGCUUGCUCCUCUGACGUUAGCGGCGCACGGGUGAGUAACACGUGGAUAACCUACCUAUAAGACUGGGAUAACUUCGGGAAACCGGAGCUAAUACCGGAUAAUAUAUUGAACCGCAUGGUUCAAUAGUGAAAGACGGUUUUGCUGUCACUUAUAGAUGGAUCCGCGCUGCAUUAGCUAGUUGGUAAGGUAACGGCUUACCAAGGCAACGAUGCGUAGCCGACCGGAGAGGGUGAUCGGCCACACUGGAACUGAGACACGGUCCAGACUCCUACGGGAGGCAGCAGUAGGGAAUCUUCCGCAAUGGGCGAAAGCCUGACGGAGCAACGCCGCGUGAGUGAUGAAGGUCUUCGGAUCGUAAAACUCUGUUAUUAGGGAAGAACAAAUGUGUAAGUAACUAUGCACGUCUUGACGGUACCUAAUCAGAAAGCCACGGCUAACUACGUG